CAGCCGCGGUAAUACAGAGGGUGCGAGCGUUAAUCGGAUUUACUGGGCGUAAAGCGUGCGUAGGCGGCUGAUUAAGUCGGAUGUGAAAUCCCUGAGCUUAACUUAGGAAUUGCAUUCGAUACUGGUCAGCUAGAGUAUGGGAGAGGAUGGUAGAAUUCCAGGUGUAGCGGUGAAAUGCGUAGAGAUCUGGAGGAAUACCGAUGGCGAAGGCAGCCAUCUGGCCUAAUACUGACGCUGAGGUACGAAAGCAUGGGGAGCAAACAGGAUUAGAUACCCUGGUAGUCCAUGCCGUAAACGAUGUCUACUAGCCGUUGGGGCCUUUGAGGCUUUAGUGGCGCAGCUAACGCGAUAAGUAGACCGCCUGGGGAGUACGGUCGCAAGACUAAAACUCAAAUGAAUUGACGGGGGCCCGCACAAGCGGUGGAGCAUGUGGUUUAAUUCGAUGCAACGCGAAGAACCUUACCUGGCCUUGACAUACUAGAAACUUUCCAGAGAUGGAUUGGUGCCUUCGGGAAUCUAGAUACAGGUGCUGCAUGGCUGUCGUCAGCUCGUGUCGUGAGAUGUUGGGUUAAGUCCCGCAACGAGCGCAACCCUUUUCCUUAUUUGCCAGCGAGUAAUGUCGGGAACUUUAAGGAUACUGCCAGUGACAAACUGGAGGAAGGCGGGGACGACGUCAAGUCAUCAUGGCCCUUACGGCCAGGGCUACACACGUGCUACAAUGGUCGGUACAAAGGGUUGCUACCUAGCGAUAGGAUGCUAAUCUCAAAAAGCCGAUCGUAGUCCGGAUUGGAGUCUGCAACUCGACUCCAUGAAGUCGGAAUCGCUAGUAAUCGCGGAUCAGAAUGCGGCGGUGAAUACGUUCCCGGGCCUUGU
rnacentral:rRNA from 1 species